rnacentral:rRNA from 1 species
UACAGAGGUCUCAAGCGUUGUUCGGAUUCAUUGGGCGUAAAGGGUGCGUAGGCGGCGCGGUAAGUCGGAUGUGAAAUCUCGGAGCUUAACUUCGAAACUGCAUUCGAUACUGCCGUGCUUGAGGACUGGAGAGGAGACUGGAAUUUACGGUGUAGCGGUGAAAUGCGUAGAUAUCAGGAAGAACACCCGUGGCGAAGGCGGCUCUCUGGAACGCAACUGACGCUGAGACGCGAAAGCGUGGGGAGCAAACAGG